UACGAAGGGGGCUAGCGUUGCUCGGAAUCACUGGGCGUAAAGCGCACGUAGGCGGCUUCUUAAGUCAGGGGUGAAAUCCUGGAGCUCAACUCCAGAACUGCCUUUGAUACUGAGGAGCUCGAGUCCGGGAGAGGUGAGUGGAACUCCGAGUGUAGAGGUGAAAUUCGUAGAUAUUCGGAAGAACACCAGUGGCGAAGGCGGCUCGCUGGCCCGGUACUGACGCUGAGGUGCGAAAGCGUGGGGAGCAAACAGG
rnacentral:rRNA from 1 species